rnacentral:lncRNA from 1 species
CUGGGCCUCAGUUUCUCCAGCCAUAUCCUGAGGGAAGUCUAUUAAUUCUCUUAGCUUGAGUUUCCCAGAAGUUGGUCCCAAGGUCGUGAUAAGAAUUAUCAGAGAUAAAGAAAGGUUGCUGAACACACAUAGUAUGCUGACAACUGGCCACAUGUCAUCUUCCCAGCAUUGCAAAGAAGGGGCCAUUUUUCUUGCAGGUAAGAAGCCCAAGGUCAGAAAAGGAGCCCCUUUAG